CCUACGGGGGGCAGCAGUGAGGAAUAUUGGUCAAUGGACGGAAGUCUGAACCAGCCAUGCCGCGUGCAGGAAGACGGCUCUAUGAGUUGUAAACUGCUUUUGUACAAGGGUAAACCUGAAUACGUGUAUUCAGCUGAAAGUACUGUACGAAUAAGGAUCGGCUAACUCCGUGCCAGCAGCCGCGGUAAUAAGGAGGAUCCAAGCGUUAUCCGGAUUUAUUGGGGUUAAAGGGUGCGUAGGCGGAUUUAUAAGUUAGAGGGUAAAUGUCCGAGCUUAACUCGGGAACUGCCUCUAAUACUGUUGGUCUAGAGAGUAGAUGCGGUAGGCGGAAUGUAUGGUGUAGCGGUGAAAUGCUUAGAGAUCAUACAGAACACCGAUUGCGAAGGCAGCUUACCAAUCUAUAUCUGACGUUGAGGCACGAAAGCGUGGGGAGCAAACAGGAUUAGAUACCCCGGUAGUC
rnacentral:rRNA from 1 species